AGUGAACGCUGGCGGUAGGCCUAACACAUGCAAGUCGAACGGCAGCACAGGAGAGCUUGCUCUCUGGGUGGCGAGUGGCGGACGGGUGAGGAAUACAUCGGAAUCUACUCUGUCGUGGGGGAUAACGUAGGGAAACUUACGCUAAUACCGCAUACGACCUACGGGUGAAAGCAGGGGACCUUCGGGCCUUGCGCAAUUGAAUGAGCCGAUGUCGGAUUAGCUAGUUGGCGGGGUAAAGGCCCACCAAGGCGACGAUCCGUAGCUGGUCUGAGAGGAUGAGCAGCCAAACUGGAACUGAGACACGGUCCAGACUCCUACGGGAGGCAGCAGUGGGGAAUAUUGGACAAUGGGCGCAAGCCUGAUCCAGCCAUACCGCGUGGGUGAAGAAGGCCUUCGGGUUGUAAAGCCCUUUUGUUGGGAAAGAAAUCCAGCUGGCUAAUACCCGGUUGGGAUGACGGUACCCAAAGAAUAAGCACCGGCUAACUUCGUGCCAGCCGCCGCAGUAA
rnacentral:rRNA from 1 species